GGCAUAUGACCGACCUUCAACGUUGAAAUUUGGUUGAAAUUAGGUCAGUUGUUUGUUCAACGUUGAAACAACGUUGAAACAACGGUGAAUGGUAAACGGUUGAAAAAGGUUAAUAAAAUGCUUAAAAAUCAACGUUGAAAUUUGGUUGAAAUAACGUCAGUUGUUUGUUCAACGUUGAUUCAACGUUGAAACAACGUUGAAACAACAGUGAAGUAAAUGGUUGCAGAGAGACAAUAAAAUAAUGUUUUAUAAUAUGUGAAUCAUUCAGAAAAAAAAUUAAAAACUCAUUUUAUAAAAUUGAUGACAUUAUAAAAAAAAUUUAACAAAUAAUUGAAUAUACAGGUAGCGACGUAAUCUCGCGAGAUUACACGAGACUGGACUGUUUUAACGGCUGUCUUCGAGAUCUUGCGUAUCACACGAGAAAAUGCUUCAGAGAAAGAAGAGAGCCCUUCAAAUUAGAAAAGUGAGGAUGAUCUUGUCAAUGCUGAGAUUUUCAUGCAUCAACAGCCACUACAUCUGGAUCAAAUUGAACAAGAAACAGACAGCAAGGGUUGUCAGAUCAGAAACAGAAUGACACACAAACACAAGAAACUUCACAGGCAGAUCAACAUGCAAUUUGAAGACGUGUGAUAAAAUACAGAGAGGUGAAGUAGUGUGUCUUUCCAGAUCCCUAAAUCAUUCCCCCUUAAAAG